rnacentral:rRNA from 1 species
GACGAACGCUGGCGGCGUGCCUAAUACAUGCAAGUAGAACGCAGUUGCGAACGGGUGAGUAACGAGUAGGUAACUGCCUCAUAGCGGGGGAUAACUAUUGGAAACGAUAGCUAAUACCCCCUACUGUGGGCUGGACCUGCGUUGUAUUGGGUAGUUGGUGAGGUAAAGGCCCACCAAGGCGACUAUACAUAGCCGACCUGAGAGGGUGAUCGGCCAACCUGGGACUGAGAAAAGGCCCAGACUCCUACGGGAGGGAGCAGUAGGGAAUCGUCGGCAAUGGAAGGAAGUCUGAACGAGCAAAGCCGGGGGAGUGAAGAAGGUUGUCGGAGCGUAAAGCUAUGUUGUUAGAGAAGCGGUAACGAAAGAGAAAGGGACGGCUAACUACGUGCCAGCCGCCGCGGUAAUUC